rnacentral:rRNA from 1 species
GAUGAACGCUGGCGGCGUGCCUAAUACAUGCAAGUCGAGCGAACAGACGAGGAGCUUGCUCCUCUGACGUUAGCGGCGGACGGGUGAGUAACACGUGGAUAACCUACCUAUAAGACUGGGAUAACUUCGGGAAACCGGAGCUAAUACCGGAUAACAUGUUGAACCGCAUGGUUCAACAGUGAAAGACGGUCUUGCUGUCACUUAUAGAUGGAUCCGCGCCGCAUUAGCUAGUUGGUAAGGUAACGGCUUACCAAGGCAACGAUGCGUAGCCGACCUGAGAGGGUGAUCCGCCACACUGGAACUGAGACACGGUCCAGACUCCUACGGGAGGCAGCAGUAGGGAAUAUUCCGCAAUGGGCGAAAGCCUGACGGAGCAACGCCGCGUGAGUGAAGAAGGUCUUCGGAUCGUAAAACUCUGUUAUUAGGGAAGAACAAAUGUGUAAGUACCUAUGCACGUCUUGACGGUACCUAAUCAGAAAGCCACGGCUAACUACGUG